ACACGAGAGAGGAGGUGGUCCCGAAGUUGAUGACUUACAGGACACGUGAGGUGGCUGUCCGCUAGCCGCCGUCCAGAUGGGCCGCCCGUUCAGAGCCUGUGGAAGACCCACAGCACCUGAGCGACGGCACUCCCGCCCGUCCGUCGAUGGCGGCAGGCGAGAACCGGACAGUCACCCGACCCCCGGGCUGCCGACGUUGUCCAGUCGGCCCGUGAGCCGCUCCCCACCACGGUGGGUACAGCGCCGCGGAGCAGCCCGGGGGUUGUCCGUU
rfam:Modestobacter sp. KNN45-2b asc16_sequence_0067, whole genome shotgun sequence.